rnacentral:tRNA from 2 species
GCGAACGUAGCUCAGUUGGUUAGAGCGCGGCCUUGUGGUGGCCGAUGUCGGGGGUUCGAAUCCCCUCGUUCGCCCCA